AGAUUGAACGCUGGCGGCAUGCCUAACACAUGCAAGUCGAACGGGAGUAGCAAUACUCUAGUGGCGGACGGGUGAGGAAUACGUAGGAAUUUGCCCUUAAGUGAGGGAUAACCCGGGAAACCCGGAUUAAUACCGCAUGACCUCGAAAGAGCAAAGUGGGGAUCGCAAGACCUCACGCUUUUGGAGUAAGCCUACGUCGGAUUAGCUAGUUGGUGGGUAAUGGCUCACCAAGGCGACGAUCCGUAACUGGUCUGAGAGGAUGAUCAGUCACACCGGAACUGAGACACGGUCCCGACUCCGUACGGGAGCAAGCUAAGGUGGGGAAUAGUUGGGGACUAAGUGGGACGACAAGGCCCUGGACUU
rnacentral:rRNA from 1 species